AUUGAACGCUGGCGGCAGGCCUAACACAUGCAAGUCGAACGGUAACAGGAAGCAGCUUGCUGCUUCGCUGACGAGUGGCGGACGGGUGAGUAAUGUCUGGGAAGCUGCCUGAUGGAGGGGGAUAACUACUGGAAACGGUAGCUAAUACCGCAUAAUGUCGCAAGACCAAAGAGGGGGACCUUCGGGCCUCUUGCCAUCGGAUGUGCCCAGAUGGGAUUAGCUUGUUGGGGGGGUAACGGCUCACCAAGGCGACGAUCCCUAGCUGGUCUGAGAGGAGGACCAGCCACACUGCGACUGGGACACGGGCCAGACUCCUACGGGAGGCAGCAGUGGGGAAUAUUGCACAAUGGGCGCAAGCCUGAUGCAGCCAUGCCGCGUGUAUGAAGAAGGCCUUCGGGUUGUAAAGUACUUUCAGCGGGGAGGAAGGGAGUAAAGUUAAUACCUAGGCUCAUUGACGUUACCCGCAGAAGAAGCACCGGCUAACUCCGUG
rnacentral:rRNA from 1 species